CCUGAGGGACACGGCAGUGAGGAUCCAGCCCAGGUGGGUAGGGAGGGGCUUUCCAUCCCACACACACAACUAGUGGGAUCGUACUGCAGACUAGUCUUCUCUUCCUCCCCUCCAAAGGAGCUGAGGCUCUCCAUCUCCUGCAGGGUAGUGCCCUGCUCCUCGGCCAGGCCCACCAAGGCCCCCAGGCCCAGCCACCCUGCUUCUAGGCUCUUGGUCCAUCAAGCACUCUAUCAGAAUUUCACCUCCAGACCUCCAGCUCCUUCUCACCAUAGCCUCCCCAGGCCGCAGAUCCCAAAGUGGUAAUUUUCUAGCAAUCCCCCAAAUCACAAA
rnacentral:lncRNA from 1 species